CGGGGUGCACCAGGCGCGAAAACUUCACAAUGGGAGAAAUCCCGAUGAGGGAAUUCCAAGUGCUAGCACUAUGUGUUAGCUGUUCUUUUGUCUAAAAAACAGAAGAAGUAAGGGCCGGGUAAGACGGGUGCCAGCCGCCGCGGUAAUACCCGCGGCCCGAGUGGUGGUCGAUAUUAUUGAGCCUAAAACGUCCGUAGCCGGUCUUGUAAAUCCUUGGGUAAAUCGGCCAGCUUAACUGUCCGAAGUCCGGGGAGACUGCAAGACUUGGGAUCGGGAGAGGUCAGAGGUACUUCUGGGGUAGGGGUAAAAUCCUGUAAUCCUGGAAGGACCACCGGUGGCGAAGGCGUCUGACUAGAACGAAUUCGACGGUGAGGGACGAAGCCCUGGGGCGCAAACGGGAUUAGAUACCCCGGUAGUCCAGGGUGUAAACGCUGCGGGCUUGGUGUUGGGGGUCCUUUGUGGGCGCCCAGUGCCGGAGAGAAGUUGUUAAGCCUGCUGCUUGGGGAGUACGUCCGCAAGGAUGAAACUUAAAGGAAUUGGCGGGGGAGCACAAGGGCGAAUCGCG
rnacentral:rRNA from 1 species